rnacentral:lncRNA from 1 species
GCAACUCACUCCAUAAUUCUGAUAAAACAGAGCACUUUCGAAGUUCUGCAUUUCAAUACAGAUCAACCUAUAGAAGACUGAAUACCUAUAUAGAAGUAUGCAUAAUCUCUAUCCUAAGUUGGACAAAAAUGCCAAGACGACUUCUCCUCCACAUUCAACGUGUUAUGGAUAUAGUUCUCCAUGAACCAGCAGCAAGUGGGCAUUCCACUAGCACCUUUUGUACCAACAAGAAAUCAAGAAAAGAAAAUCCUUCAUCAGAUCAAGUGCAACAAACACCAGCCACUAAAAUUUUGAAUGCUCACAGAGGAACCCACCUAGUCUCAAGUUGGUACUUUGACC